rnacentral:lncRNA from 1 species
GUCUGGGGGAGUAAUGCAUCCUCUGGGCACUGCAGGUUGAAGAAUAUCAUCAGCUCAGCCCUGGGCACUUUCCAUGGUGAAGUCAUGAAUCUGCUCUGAUUGAAGCCCAGUUCUGCAUCACUUCCAUCAGACUGGGUCUUUAUAGCAGUGACCAUUAACCUUGCAGGAAAAAUCAGCAAGCAGACAUUCCGUUACAAUAGGAACAAAUGGUAAAUGAUGGCAUUAAAGGUAACUUUCCAUUACUUUUGGUGAUAUGAACCAGAACUACUUUUAAAUAAUGACUGGCACCAGCGAAUAAAAACAGAAAUAUGCAUCAAAGAAUGAGCUGUAAUUGCUCUGAUUUCGCUGAGAAAUGAGACCUCCUAUAAGAGAGAAAUGUGGUUUUGAACAUGGAGGGAAAAGCAGGAAUCAUUUCAGGGAAGUCCCAAUCCUUUAUGGAUGUUUUCCCCCUAACUUCCUGCAAAACAGGAUUACUACACUUGCUUAUUGUCAGGGUGUAAUUACUUCAGAUGGAGUUGGAGAUUAAAAAUGCACAUCCAACACUGCACCCUUCACCUUCCCCAUCCCCUCCAUGCAACUACAGGGCUGGGAGCAUUUCCUCCAGGAACACUUAGUGAAAUAUCUUGGAUGUACCGAUGUCUGGGAAGGGAACAUCAUAUUUUCAGCAUUUCUUCUUAGCCUCUCAGCUACCCCAUGCCACCAAGGAUGGAGCCAACCACUGACACUGCUGCCAAAGCAGGGAAUUCUUUCAUCAGCUCCUAAGUGCCAUCUGUGCUCACGUGUCGUACGGCCUCAGCACUCCGUGUUCAGCCCUAACAAUUCUCUUUCGCCAAAGGAACUUCAGGUCUGCAACAAAAAGCCAUUGCUGACACACUUUAAUUAA